GAUAUUAAAAUGUAUCAAUUAAUAAGGUCUCUGCUGUAUUUCUAGCCGUUUCUCAAAGUCAAGGAUCCUUACUUGGUAGGACUGGUCCUUCCAAGUCAGGUCCUUCAGAGGCUAGGCGAGGCUCCUCCUUAACAUUUGGAGAGCACAUAAAUGGAACAGGCUAGUGAGGGUGCCUCAUUGCAUAAUUACGUCAGUAAAAAGGUCCGCCCUUGGUGCUGCAAUUCAACAGUGGACAAAAAUGGAUGUGCUACUGGUUUGUUUGCUGUUCAGCAUCUUUACUGUGAUUGAGCUGGAGUUGGUGAGGGAUCAUCGGCGUCAGGAUGCCCACAGUAGGAGGAGGUUGAUGUGUCGCCACCUUUGCCGACAAAGACGUGGGAUGGCUUGACAUUACUGUGCCAUCAAUGCCACAGUGCCAGUACUGCAGCGGUACUAUGGAAGGGAGGACACCCGCCCAGACUUCAGGCUGGGCAGAGAGGCCACGCAGCAGCUAAUGGUGGCCCUCAAGACCGAGAGGCAGCAUGAAUAGGGCCCGACCCUGGAGACACUCGUGUUCCUGUUCUGGCUGGUCACCGGUUCAGCCUACAGAGUUGUCUCCAGGGUCUUUGGAAUGCCUUCUCCCACGGUCCACAGAGUUGUCCACAGGAUGAUGGAUGAGGUGGUGGCUGUGCUCCCCCAAUUUGUCCACUUCCCCCGGACACAGGAGGAGCUCCAGAUGGUCGGGGAUGGUUUUGCCCGGUUGGCUCAUCACCGAGCAUUUACCAAGUCAGCAGGGGCAGUAGAUGGCUGCCACAUCCGUAUAAAAUGUUAUUGACAGCUUUGUGGGUUACCCAGGAAGUAUGUAUGAUGCAUGCAUCCUAAAGAACAGCUCCAUCUACACUAGGGGGACUUACCCUCCACCUGGGUAUUUUCUCCUAGCUGAUGAUGGCUACCCAUUUCUACAGGAACCCCUGGCCUUAUCACGCCAUAUAAGAGGCCAGUGAGAGGCAUGGCAGAGCAACGGUUUAAUUAUAAUCAUUCCAGAGGUUGCACAAUCAUUGAGCGUGCCUUUGGAAUGAUGAAAACCCGCUUCAGGUGCAUUUUUUUAGAAGCACUUGAAGUACAUCCACUGUUUGUCCCUAAGGUGGUGACAGCGUGUGUGAUUAUACACAACAUUUGUGUUGGUGUUGGGGAUGAGCUGGAAGAGGCUGUGGAGGAGGAGGACAGCCAGC